rnacentral:misc_RNA from 1 species
GAACGCACAUUGCGCCCGCCAGCAUUCUGGCGGGCAUGCCUGUUCGAGCGUCAUUUCAACCCUCGCAGCCCAUCUGGGCAGCGGUGUUGGGGACCGGCACCACCGGCGAAGCCCUUAGGGGCCCAGCCGGCGCCGCCCCCGAAAUACAGUGGCGGUCUCGCUGCAGCCUCCCUUGCGUAGUAGCACACCUCGCACCGGAGCGCAGCGCGGCCACGCCGUAAAACCCCCGACUUUCUGAGUUUGACCUCGAAUCAGGUAGGAAUACCCGCUGAACUUAAG